GACUUCUAAUGAUUGAACUCGCCUCAUGACUUGUAUUGAUAUCCUUAUCCGCUUUGGUUUAGCAAUACGCACUUUGUUGGGCGAGUGUGUAACCAAGCAAUUUACUUUGAAAAAAUUAGAGUGUUUCAAGCAGGCGAUUUGCUGGAAUACAUUAGCAUGGAACAAUAGAACACGACCUCUUAAGCAUUUUAUUGGUAUAUGACUGGAGGUAAUG
rnacentral:rRNA from 1 species